GAUGAACGCUGGCGGCGUGCCUAAUACAUGCAAGUCGAGCGAACGGACGAGAAGCUUGCUUCUCUGAUGUUAGCGGCGGACGGGUGAGUAACACGCGGAUAACCUACCUAUAAGACUGGGAUAACUUCGGGAAACCGGAGCUAAUACCGGAUAAUAUUUUGAACCGCAUGGUUCAAAAGUGAAAGACGGUCUUGCUGUCACUUAUAGAUGGAUCCGCGCUGCAUUAGCUAGUUGGUAAGGUAACGGCUUACCAAGGCAACGAUGCAUAGCCGACCUGAGAGGGUGAUCGGCCACACUGGAACUGAGACACGGUCCAGACUCCUACGGGAGGCAGCAGUAGGGAAUCUUCCGCAAUGGGCGAAAGCCUGACGGAGCAACGCCGCGCGAGUGAUGAAGGUCUUCGGAUCGUAAAACUCUGUUAUUAGGGAAGAACAUAUGUGUAAGUAACUGUGCACAUCUUGACGGUACCUAAUCAGAAAGCCACGGCUAACUACGUG
rnacentral:rRNA from 1 species